GCUGCGAUGGUGGAGUGGUUAACACGACGCCCUGCUAAGGCGUUUCCCUUUGGGAGCGUAGGUUCGAAUCCUGCUUGCAGCG
rnacentral:tRNA from 1 species